rnacentral:lncRNA from 1 species
GGAGCCGCCAGCUGUGUGUUUUCACAGUCCAGACCAAAGCUUCACGUGCCUUCUUGGUUUUUUUUUUUUCAGGAACUUGGCCAUUGGAAUUGGAAUCCAGAACUUCCCGGAGGGCCUGGCCGUCAGCCUCCCCUUGCGAGGGGCAGGCUUCUCCACCUGGCGAGCCUUCUGGUUCGGGCAGCUGAGCGGCAUGGUAGAGCCGCUGGCCGGGGUCUUUGGCGCCUUCGCGGUGGUGCUGGCCGAGCCCCUCCUGCCCUACGCUCUGGCCUUUGCUGCUGGCGCCAUGGUCUACGUGGUCAUGGACGACAUCAUCCCCGAAGCCCAGAUCAGUGGCAACGGGAAGCUGGCAUCCUGGGCCUCCAUCCUGGGAUUUGUGGUGAUGAUGUCACUGGACGUGGGCCUGGGCUAGCUCUGGGUCACGACACCCCCCCGGAAGGACAGCACCAGACCUCGAUGGGACCACGAGCCUUUCUUCACAUUGAACUAUUGCUGCCUUCUCUCCCCUUCGUCCCACUGUCCGGAUGGGCCCUGAUUCUAAUAGAACUGUCUUUACUUUGUUCUUGAGGGAGAUGUCGGUUUUCUUUGGAAUCUCAAAGUGUCAUGGAAUCACGG